UUUACUUUUUGUUGUUGUUCUUCUUCUUUUGGUAAUU
rnacentral:sRNA from 1 species